UUCGAUGGUAGGAUAGAGGCCUACCAUGGUUGCAACGGGUAACGGAGAAUUAGGGUUCAAUUCCGGAGAGGGAGCCUGAGAGACGGCUACCACAUCUAAGGAAGGCAGCAGGCGUGCAAAUUACCCAAUUUCAACUCGAAGAGGUAGUGACAAGAAAUAACAAUACAGGGCCCAACGGGUCUUGUAAUUGGAAUGAGCCAAAUUUAAAUCCCUGAACGAGGACCCAUUGGAGGGCAAGUCUGGUGCCAGCAGCCGCGGUAAUUCCAGCUCCAAUAGUGUAUAUUAGUGUUGUUGCAGUUGAAGCGCUCGUAGUUGGAUUUUGGAAUAGUUUGACUGGUCGUCCGUCAAGGUAUGUACUGGUUGAAUUGUUCUUUUUUCUGAAGAACUGUCAUGCUCUUUAUCGGGUGUGUCAGGGAUCCAGGACUUUUACUUUGA
rnacentral:rRNA from 1 species